UGCCUGCUGUGUCCUUGGCAUCAGGAAAGGGUUCUCACAGGGCUGUCACCACCCUCAGCCCUCCCGCUGAGGUCCUGCUGGCUUUGGCCCCCGGCCUGGUGGUGGCAGCCAAUUCCGUGCAGGUCUGCAGCCCCUCCUCGCUCUACCCCCAGCCCCAGGCGGCCACUCGUUUACCUGUGUCUCCUCGCUGUGUCUCUUCGGGACAGUUCAGAUACCCAGAGUGCACGUGAGCCCGGCUCCUCCCACUGACCCGAUGCUUUCCAGGCCAUCACUGUCGGAGCAAACGCAGCGCCGCCUUCCUUUCUGUGGCUGAGUAGUUUCCGCCGACUUGUGUCCCUGGCUGGUGCCGUCGGGCUGUGCGCGGCCGCGGAUAGUCCUGCUCUGCAGAUUCACGAGCGUGUUUUUGUGCGGCCGGCGGUUUUCAUUUCUCGUGGGUGUAUCGGCAGGAGCUGGACCGCGGCGUCAUCUGCUAACACUGCGGUCAGCUCUUCCAGGCUCCAUUGACUUUUCCAGAGUGUCUGCAGUUCCGCGCCCACCUGUCCCGCGGGAGGCUGACCUCGUGGGCACCCGCACUGGCGCCCAUUGUCGCCUGAGGUUUUAUCAACAGUGUGUUUGUCCUUAGGGUGCGCAUACAGUGCUCCCACCUCCCUCGAGACCCAGACGGUCCCUCUCUUUGAGGCCGAGCCCCCAGUGUGACUCACAGCAGGCUCUUUUAUUCCAUUCAACGUGAGAUGCAUGGAGAUUGUCAUUUGCGUUUAAUUUUAUAGUUACAUGAAAUAUUUGCAUGGUUCCCAGUCAAAUCUAUGUUAUAAGAUAUACCCAGAGAAGUCUCUCUUUGCCUUGUUCUUCCUGAAGGCAACAGUUUUAUUUAUUUAUUUUUUUACGAUUUACCUUUCAAUUUAAAAAUAUAAGCACAGAUCAACACGCACAUUUUCCCCUCCCAUUCUUGGGCCACGGGCCUCAUCCAGCAAGCGGGGUCCUCCGCCUUGCUGUCCUGGCCUUCUAGCCUGGAGGCCUGUCCAUCGUGGUUUCUGGAGAUGUGCCCACUUCCCCCGAGUCGUGUGGUCCCCGCGAGGCUGGGCCGGCGUGGCCUCAGACCCGUCCUGUUGCCGGCCUCGGGUUGCGCCGGGCCCUGCCGUCACGGACGGGGCGAACAUCUCCUCCUAAUUUUGAGAUGCAAGCCUUCCUUCCUCGCCCGUGUCCAAAGGCGUGAAUCAUUGUCACAACCCUCUGGGUGGCUUUCUUCCUGCAGCACAGAGCUGGUUGGUGAGCAGAUACCUUUUGUUGCCAGGAUGAUAGGCGAUCACCAGGAAUUCUCCGGCAGGGAAAAGUGAGGAGCAUUUUAAAGGAAGCUUGUUUUUCCCUGUCUAGACUCACCUCACUGUUCCAGAACCUUCCAUGCUCUUGAAGCCUGAAUAAGUCACUUGUCUACAACGUGGACGCUUGGCCUGCCUCAGGUCUGGUUUGUCCUUCCUGCAGACACGGACUAGAGUAUUUCCACCCUCUGCCUUCUCUAAAACGUAACAUGGGCUCUCUUUUUUCUCAUAAACGUGUCCCUGUUCAUUGUAGAAACUUUGAAAACAUAAGGAAGAAAAACAGAAGGAAAUAAAAAUCAUCCUAAAUCCCA